rnacentral:pre_miRNA from 1 species
GAGAUACCCUUAUGGGGCAGGACUUGCUUCAGUGUGGCUUUGGUGCUCACUGAGUCUGCCUGUUGAGUGUGUCACU